rnacentral:rRNA from 1 species
UACGGGGGGGGCAAGCGUUGUUCGGAAUUACUGGGCGUAAAGGGCGCGUAGGCGGCCUGCUAAGUCGGAUGUGAAAUCCCCGGGCUCAACCCGGGAACUGCGUCCGAGACUGGAAGGCUCGAAUCCGGGAGAGGGAUGUGGAAUUCCAGGUGUAGCGGUGAAAUGCGUAGAUAUCUGGAGGAACAUCGGUGGCGGAGGCGGCAUCCUGGACCGGUAUUGACGCUGAGGCGCGAAAGCCAGGGGAGCAAACGGG